rnacentral:rRNA from 1 species
AUGAAAGGAGGCAAGGUGAUGGGCCCUGAUUGUAUCCCCAUUGAGGUGUGGAAAGGUCUCAGGGACAUAGCGAUAGUAUGGCUAACCAAGCUUUUCAACCUCAUUUUUCGGGCAAACAAGAUGCCAGAAGAAUGGAGACGGAGUAUAUUAGUACCAAUCUUCAAGAACAAGGGGGAUGUUCAGAGUUGUACUAAUUACCGUGGAAUUAAGCUGAUGAGCCAUACAAUGAAGCUAUGGGAGAGAGUCAUUGAGCACCGCUUAAGAAGAAUGACAAGCGUGACCAAAAAUCAGUUUGGUUUCAUGCCUGGGAGGUCAACCAUGGAAGCCAUUUUCUUGGUACGACAACUUAUGGAGAGAUAUAGGGAGCAUAAGAAGGACUUGCAUAUGGUGUUCAUUGACUUGGAGAAGGCCUAUGAUAAGAUACCGCGGAAUGUCAUGUGGUGGGCCUUGGAGAAACACAAAGUCCCAGCAAAGUACAUUACCCUCAUCAAGGACAUGUACAAUAAUGUUGUGACAAGUGUUCGAACAAGUGAUGUCGACACUGAUGACUUCCCGAUUAAGAUAGGACUGCAUCAGGGGUCAGCUUUGAGCCCUUAUCUUUUUGCAUUGGUGAUGGAUGAGGUCACAAGGGGUAUACAAGGAGAUAUCCCAUGGUGUAUGCUCUUUGCGGAUGAUGUGGUGCUAGUUGACGAUAGUCAGACGGGGGUAAAUAGGAAGUUAGAGUUAUGGAGACAAACCUUGGAAUCGAAAGGGUUUAGGCUUAGUAGAACUAAAACCGAGUACAUGAUGUGCGGUUUCAGUACUACUAGCUGUGAGGAGGAGGAGGUUAGCCUUGAUGGCCAGGUGGUACCUCGGAAGGACACCUUUCGGUAUUUGGGGUCAAUGUUGCAGGAGGACGGGGGUAUUGAUGAAGAUGUGAACCAUCGAAUCAAAGCCGGAUGGAUGAAGUGGCGCCAAGCUUCUGGCAUUCUCUGUGACAAGAGAGUGCCACAAAAGUUAAAAGGCAAGUUCUACAGGACAGCGGUUCGACCCGCAAUGUUGUAUGGCGUGGAGUGUUGGCCGACUAAAAGGCGACAUGUUCAACAGUUAGGUGUGGCGGAGAUGCGUAUGUUGAGAUGGAUGUGUGGCCACACGAGGAAGGAUCGAGUCCGGAAUGAUGAUAUACGAGAUAGAGUUGGGGUAGCACCAAUUGAAGAGAAGCUUGUCCAACAUCGUUUGAGAUGGUUUGGGCAUAUUCAGCGCAGGCCUCCAGAAGCUCCAGUGCAUAGCGGACGGCUAAAGCGUGCGGAGAAUGUCAAGAGAGGGCGGGGUCAACCGAUUUUGACAUGGGAGGAGUCCGUUAAGAGAGACCUGAAGGAUUGGAGUAUCGACAAAGAGCUAGCUAUGGACAGGGGUGCGUGGAAGCUUGCUAUCCAUGUGCCAGAGCCAUGA